rnacentral:rRNA from 1 species
GGAUGAACGCUAGCGGCAGGCGUAAUACAUGCAAGUCGAGGGGCAGCACAGGUAGCAAUACUGGGUGGCGACCGGCAAACGGGUGCGGAACACGUACGCAACCUUCCUUCAAGAGAUGGAUAGCCCGAAGAAAUUCGGAUUAAUACAUCGUAAAAUCACAGUGUGGCAUCACAUAAUGAUUAAAGAAUUUCGCUUGAAGAUGGGCGUGCGCCUGAUUAGGUAGUUGGUGAGGUAACGGCUCACCAAGCCGACGAUCAGUAACUGGCGUGAGAGCGCGACCAGUCACACGGGCACUGAGACACGGGCCCGACUCCUACGGGAGGCAGCAGUAAGGAAUAUUGGUCAAUGGACGGAAGUCUGAACCAGCCAUGCCGCGUGAAGGAUGAAGGCCCUCUGGGUCGUAAACUUCUUUUAUCUGGGACGAAAUCAUCUUUUUCUAAGGAUGUUGACGGUACCAGAGGAAUAAGCACCGGCUAACUCCGUGCCAGCAGCCGCGGUAAUACGGAGGGUGCAAGCGUUAUCCGGAUUCACUGGGUUUAAAGGGUGCGUAGGCGGAUUUGUAAGUCCGUGGUGAAAUCUCCAGGCUUAACCUGGAAACUGCCAUGGAUACUAUAAAUCUUGAAUGUUGUGGAGGUUAGCGGAAUAUGUCAUGUAGCGGUGAAAUGCAUAGAUAUGACAUAGAACACCAAUUGCGAAGGCAGCUGGCUACACAAAUAUUGACGCUGAGGCACGAAAGCGUGGGGAUCAAACAGGAUUAGAUACCCUGGUAGUCCACGCCCUAAACGAUGAUUACUCGACAUUUGUGGUAUACAAUAAGUGUCUGAGCGAAAG